rnacentral:tRNA from 1 species
AGGAGAUUAGGUUAACAAGACCGAGAGCCUUCAAAGCCCUAAGCAAAUAUAUUAUUAUUUAUCUCCUG